GUUAGGGUUAGGAGUGGUUUGGACUCUCCACUGCUGCUAACAAACCACGACUGCAAAUGAUAAUGAAUGUGGUUUGUAGGGUCUGCAAGGCUGUGGCUGGACCAUUCAAAUGUCACUUUCCAAGAAAAAUGGAGCUCGUUCAUUGGAGUACCGUUUGUGCUUGCGUACAUGAACUAUGGAAAAAGUACUAAACCAGUUUAGACCAGACUUGGUGGAGAGAUGGGCCAUGGGCCAGGGGAAAAACCAUUACAUUUUGGGACAAAUCUGGAUCAUCAACCUACCAUUCAGUCUCCUGCUAAAGCCGCAGUCAUUGGCCUCAGACUCAGCCCCUGGUGUGACUGAUGUAGCCCUGUGGCCCCCUCUGAGUUUGUCAAUGGGAAGUAUAUUCAUAGUAGUUAAUGUUUUGUAUAAUUUUGUAAGUGUUUAAUACUAAUAUUAACUCUGUUUCCUCUUUCCAAUUCACUAAAUCACACUUUGGUGGGUCACAGUCUCCCUCACUGAAGCCCAAUUUAGUGGCUAGGAUGAAAGGCUCCUCCGUCACUCUGAAGAACCCCAGCCCUGCUCCAUCCUCUGUAAGGACCCUUGCCCUGCUGUAAACACCAGUCUUGCAAUAGCCUCUGUGGAGCCAGGAUUGGGGGAUUGUGGCGGUGACCAGCAAGCAAGCUGUCGUUUCUCCUCACCUACUCUGGGGAUAUGGUCCACUGUGUCAAGACCAAUGGCCUGAAAGUGUUUGGCAGGCAUUUGGGCUAACCUUCAGGCCACCUGCCAAAUACACUGGAGAGCUGCUUGGUGUUGACUACCUACUGAGUCAGCUAUUGAAGGUGACCCCAACUCAGAGGAAAUCUAAAUGAUUGUUAAAGAGGCAUGAAAACAGGGCACUUUUAUUUUUGUAUACAGUUUUGUAUAUGUUUCCUUUUGUUGUCUAUAGUUACUGUUGAAUGAAUAGUAGAAAACUGUUGAAAAAUUAAUUAAAUACUCUCUGAAUUAGUUACUGUCAAAUAGUAACUAAUUCAUAAGUGUUGGGCAGUAGCCUAGUGGAUUUCAAUUAAAUACUGUAAUAAUAUCAGGGAACUCUUUUCAGUAAUGAGUAGAAGUAAAAGUACAUAUUUCAAAAUAAAAGCUA